rnacentral:rRNA from 1 species
UACGUAGGGUGCGAGCGUUGUCCGGAAUUACUGGGCGUAAAGAGCUCGUAGGCGGUUUGUCGCGUUGUUCGUGAAAACCGGGGGCUUAACCCUCGGCGUGCGGGCGAUACGGGCAGACUUGAGUACUGCAGGGGAGACUGGAAUUCCUGGUGUAGCGGUGGAAUGCGUAGAGAUCGGGAGGAACACCAGCGGCGAAAGCGGCUAUCUGGACAGAUACUGACGCUCAACUACGAAAGCAUGGGGAGCAAACAGG